AGCGGUAGAUCUAGACAAAUGAAGGCGGGUCUUCGGACCAGCAGCUAGGAUUAAACCUGGUGGGAUCCUUCGUCUAGAAUACCGCUGUGUU
rnacentral:ncRNA from 12 species